GGCCGGUCGGGGCUGGGCUCGGGGGCCGAGACCUAGCUGGGCUUGGGGCGGGGCCGAGACGGAGCGAGGGGUCCAGGGUGUGGGAAACGGGGAGGGAUUUGAGGAGGGGAUCGGAAUGUGGCUCCAGUUCGGGAGGCGUUACCUGCGGAGGGUUUGAGGAAGGCCCAGGAGCGAGCCCAUGGUCUUCCGACGCGGGGCCAGGGGCGGGCCCCAGGAUCCGGAGCUUCGGGGGGGCCGAGUCCGGGUUUGGGGCCCGGGAGGCGGGGCCAGUUAGGUCGAGGGUCCCUGGGAUCGUCGGGUCAGGCCUUGGGCUAACGUAGGCACUCUCGCAGUUCCUCCGCCUUCAGGAAGGUCUUUUUAGCAGGGGCCUUACGGGUGCAUGCUUCGGUCCUGGAGGACUUAGGCUAGCCUCCUCUCCAUCAGCGCCACCCGUCUGGGGCCCGAAAGGAGGGAGCUUUCCCUCUGUCCCCCAGCCUUUGGACUGUCACCAAACAAGCCAUUCGUUCACCAAAUACUUUUUAAGCGCCUACCAUGUGCCUGACAAGGGAUAUGUAACGGUGAGAAAAACUAGGUGUGGUCCAGGCCCUUCAGGGACUCAGGGGCUCGUGGAAGAAGUGGAUAUUGAAGUACUUAUCACACAAAGGAGGAUAAAAGUACGAUAGCGAUAUCUACCACGAAGCUGUUGUUCCACACCAGAACCAAAUGAGCGCAAGAUCUGACAAAAAAAAAAGGUUCAUCUUUUAUUCUUCCAAACACUUUCAUUUAAAUCAAGAGGAUGGGAUGUGGUUAUUACUGUGUUUUUAGACAAAAUCAAUGGUUUCUGGCUCUGAGAUGUUGCAUACACCCUCUCAGUCCCUGUAUCCUGAGAUGGAGUCACCUGAGAAUCCACAGCAAGUCCUAACCAGGGAUGGGUCUGGGUGAUUAAGGAAGAUUGGCUUCAGAACUGGGCCAGGGGCACUGCUUUGCUUUUGCUGUUUUGAUCAGCUCUCUGCCUGCAGGAGACGAGGAAAACCAAUGGGAACAGCUGGGGAAACUGAGUUACAGAGCUUUUCUGCACUGAGUCAUCAGGAGCAAAUGCUAGAUCAGGCCAGAGUGCAGUUGACGCAGAGCAGGGGAGCCCUGAAAUGGAGCAUAGUGUGUCCGGAACUGGUGGGUUCUUGGUCUCACU
rnacentral:lncRNA from 1 species